rnacentral:rRNA from 1 species
AGUGAACGCUGGCGGCAGGCCUAACACAUGCAAGUCGAGCGGCAGCGCGGGGGCAACCCUGGCGGCGCGCGGCGGACGGGUGAGGAAUUCGUCGGAAUCUGACCUAUUGUUGGGGAUAACGUAGGGUAACUUAAGCUAAUACCGCAUCCGUCAUAAGGGUGAACGUGGGGGAUCGCAAGGCCUAAAGCAGAUAGCUGAGACGACGACAGAUUAGCUAGUUGGUUGGGUAAAGGCCCACCAAGGCGACGAUCGGUAGCUGGUCUGAGAGGAUGAUCAGCCACACUGGGACUGAGACACGGCCCAGACUCCUACGGGAGGCAGCAGUAGGGAAUAUUAGACAAUGGGCGCAAGCCUGAUCCAGCCAUGCCGCGUGUGUGAAGAAGGCCUUCGGGUUGUAAAGCUCUGUUGUCCGGAAAGAAAAACCUGGAGCGAAAACCUUCGGGGGAUGACGGUACCGGAAGAAUAAGCACCGGCUAACUUCGUG